ensembl:lncRNA
AUCCCUCUGCCACAGCUGGAAGAUUACAUGGAGGGGGGCAUUUUCUUCAUCACUACAUUAUGCAUUCGUCUUCCAGAGGUGCAGGAUGGGGGCAUGUUCAUGAUCAAGACAGUAUGGAUAGCGGUAAGUCUGUUUAUCAUGUAUAAAAUGCCUGAUAUUUUCUGAAUCUACUUUUUUAAAACUUAACUUUAUUAAUGCUUCAAAGUUGCUGUGAUUCAAUAUCCUGCCAUUUUGAAGAAUUAAAUUGUUACUGUAUUGUGACCAAUUGUUUCUACUAGAAUGUGAACACAAUGACAAUGUGUUUUGGGCCAAGAGUUCCAACAAGCAACACAUGAUGAUCAUGCAACACAUCCAGAUGUGCAACACUUCUGUGCACACAAAUAAUUAUGAACACUUUAUGAACACUUUCAUAGCACUGCUGUGCUGUAUUUCUCUGCCCACAUGAGUUAUUAUAGCAUGAGAGGGAACAAUCCUUAUUUGAGCGCCAAAAUAAACAAGGUAGCACGCAACUGACCUCCCUGUGGUGUUUAUGAGUAAAUCCGGAUCAAGAUAUGGCGAUGUCAGCAUCAUCACCAGUGUCAGAUUCCUUUACAGUCGUCAGAAUACCCUCUGUGUUUACCCCCACUCGUGUUUCUAUAACGACUGUUCUCCAGAUGUUUGUGCGAAAAACAGUCAAUGGGAGCUUGCCACUGUGUUACGAUCUCAACGAAUUAAGGCCUCUUAAACUACUGCACAAUCCCAACAGAGAGCUCUCUAUCAAUGGUCAACUGGAGUCAUUUCCCAACGUUGGCUUCAAAAGGCUUGUUAUCCACAACCAAAACCAACGUAUUGACAUCAACCAGCGUCAUAUAUGCGUGAACGAUGGACAGAAUGCAACAAAGAUCCGAUGGGAGCCGAACAUUAUUGAUAUCCAAAGGGGAAAACUGAUUCAGAGCCACAACAAGACCACCAUAAUGAUCGAAGACUCGCUCUUGAUCAUAAUGCGUCAUGAAGCUGGCCAAUCUUCAGUCAGGUCUCCAACGACCCAGUCGAAGGGCUUCUAGCUGUCAAACCGUUGGUCUACGAGAGCGUGUCUGCUCCGUCCGGGACAGUAACGGUCAGCGGCAAAACGUUCACGGUUUCAGAGAUCGACAUUUUCGACUACAGUGUGACAUCUGCGCCGAGAGUAAAGUGUUGGUUAACAUCUGCAGAGAAUGCCUUGGAGGGACGUCAGUUCGAUUUUCUUGUCACAAGUUUAUAAAUGAAUAAAUUAGAAAUGAUCUGCAAUGCCAUUCCUUAUUGCACUGUUGCGUUCCUCAGCUUCAGAGGCAUUGUCAUGUCAACUGUUGGAUAAGAAAUAAGAGUAGACAAACAUUUAAGACACAUUUAGACAAAGUAAAUAAUAAAAUGAAUGAACAUUGUUUGAGCGUAUUGUUUCACAAUCUAUACUGACUACAUACUGUAUGGGAUCUUCUAUUGCUCUUGGUGUUUGGAUUACAAGUUGUAUAGUGGACAUUCAUCAAUGUUAUUAUAAUGUAUCCGUGUUGGAUUGCCCCUAUGGAACAUGACAAAAUGCAUAUUUGGAAGAGUUAAGGUUGAAAUCUCUGCUGCAAAUGGCAUGUGAUUACUUAUAAGUCAAACCGGUCCAACGGGUCAAACUUUAAACUUUAUAAAAUGACCCUGAUGAGUCCCUCACAUUCUAAUCCCAUGUUGAGCAAGUAUGUUGUAUGGAUGAUGAAGUGCAUUCUGAUGAAACGUAAAUUUGAUCUUCUGUGGUAUGGUUGUUUCGGGUGAUGCAGUCGCAUUAAACAAGGACGGGGGAA